rnacentral:rRNA from 1 species
GUGUCAGCAGCCGCGGUAAUACAGAGGUCUCAAGCGUUGUUCGGAUUUAUUGGGCGUAAAGCGUGCGUAGGCGGCGGGGUAAGUGAGGUGUGAAAUCCCGGAGCUUAACUCCGGAACUGCACUUUAUACUGCCUUGCUCGAGGGCUGGAGAGGAGACUGGAAUUUACGGUGUAGCAGUGAAAUGCGUAGAGAUCGUAAGGAAGACCAGUGGCGAAGGCGAGUCUCUGGAAAGCUGCUGACGCUGAGGCACGAAGGCCAGGGGAGCAAACGGGAUUAGAAACCCUUGUAGUCC